UACAUGGGGUGCAAACGUUGCUCGGAAUUAUUGGGCGUAAAGCGCGCGUAGGCGGUUACUUAAGUCGGAUGUGAAAGCCCUCGGCUUAACUGAGGAAGUGCACCCGAAACUGAGUAGCUGGAGUACGAAAGAGGGUCGCGGAAUUCCCGGUGUAGAGGUGGAAUUCGUAGAUAUCGGGAGGAACACCGGUGGCGAAGGCGGCGACCUGGGUCGAGACUGACGCUGAGGCGCGAAAGCGUGGGGAGCAAACAGG
rnacentral:rRNA from 1 species